AGAGUUUGAUCCUGGCUCAGGACGAACGCUGGCGGCGUGCCUAACACAUGCAAGUCGAACGGAGUUAAGCCCUUCGGGACUUAGCUUAGUGGCGAACGGGUGAGUAACGCGUGAGCAACCUACCUUUCAGUGGGGGACAACAGUUGGAAACGACUGCUAAUACCGCAUGAAACUUAUCGGGGGCAUCCCUGAAAAGUCAAAGCUUUAUGUGCUGAAAGAUGGGCUCGCGUCUGAUUAGCUAGAUGGCGGGGUAACGGCCCACCAUGGCGACGAUCAGUAGCCGGUCUGAGAGGAUGAACGGCCACAUUGGGACUGAGAUACGGCCCAGACUCCUACGGGAGGCUGCAGUGGGGAAUAUUGGGCAAUGGGGGAAACCCUGACCCAGCAACGCCGCGUGAAGGAAGAAGGCCUUCGGGUUGUAAACUUCUUUUACCAGGGACGAAGGACGUGACGGUACCUGGAGAAAAAGCAACGGCUAACUACGUGCCAGCAGCCGCGGUAAUACGUAGGUUGCAAGCGUUGUCCGGAUUUACUGGGUGUAAAGGGCGUGUAGGCGGAGGAGCAAGUCAGAUGUGAAAUCCCGGGGCUCAACCCCGGAACUGCAUUUGAAACUGUUUCCCUUGAGUAUCGGAGAGGCAAGCGGAAUUCCUAGUGUAGCGGUGAAAUGCGUAGAUAUUAGGAGGAACACCAGUGGCGAAGGCGGCUUACUGGACGACAACUGACGCUGAGGCGCGAAAGCGUGGGGAGCAAACAGGAUUAGAUACCCUGGUAGUCCACGCUGUAAACGAUGAAUACUAGGU
rnacentral:rRNA from 1 species